UACGUAGGUGGCAAGCGUUGUCCGGAUUUAUUGGGCGUAAAGCGAGAGCAGGCGGUUCCUUAAGUCUGAUGUGAAAGCCCACGGCUCAACCGUGGAGGGUCAUUGGAAACUGGGGAACUUGAGUGCAGAAGAGGAGAGUGGAAUUCCAUGUGUAGCGGUGGAAUGCGUAGAUAUAUGGAGGAACACCAGUGGCGAAGGCGACUCUCUGGUCUGUAACUGACGCUGAGUCUCGAAAGCGUGGGGAGCAA
rnacentral:rRNA from 1 species